rnacentral:rRNA from 1 species
AGUGAACGCUGGCGGUAGGCCUAACACAUGCAAGUCGAACGGCAGCACAGUAAGAGCUUGCUCUUACGGGUGGCGAGUGGCGGACGGGUGAGGAAUACAUCGGAAUCUACUUUUUCGUGGGGGAUAACGUAGGGAAACUUACGCUAAUACCGCAUACGACCUACGGGUGAAAGCAGGGGAUCUUCGGACCUUGCGCGAUUGAAUGAGCCGAUGUCGGAUUAGCUAGUUGGCGGGGUAAAGGCCCACCAAGGCGACGAUCCGUAGCUGGUCUGAGAGGAUGAUCAGCCACACUGGAACUGAGAAACGGUCCGGACUCCUACGGGAGGCAGCAGUGGGGAAUAUUGGACAAUGGGCGCAAGCCUGAUCCAGCCAUACCGCGUGGGUGAAGAAGGCCUUCGGGUUGUAAAGCCCUUUUGUUGGGAAAGAAAAGCAGCAGGUUAAUACCCCGCUGUUCUGACGGUACCCAAAGAAUAAGCACCGGCUAACUUCGU